GAUGAACGCUGGCGGCGUGCCUAAUACAUGCAAGUCGAGCGAACCACUUCGGUGGUGAGCGGCGAACGGGUGAGUAACACGUAGGUGAUCUGCCCAUCAGACGGGGACAACGAUUGGAAACGAUAGCUAAUACCGGAUAGGACGAAAGUUUAAAGGUGCUUCUGGCACCGCUGAUGGAUGAGCCUGCGGCGCAUUAGCUAGUUGGUAGGGUAAAGGCCUACCAAGGCGACGAUGCGUAGCCGACCUGAGAGGGUGAACGGCCACACUGGGACUGAGACACGGCCCAGACUCCUACGGGAGGCAGCAGUAGGGAAUCUUCGGCAAUGGGCGAAAGCCUGACCGAGCAACGCCGCGUGAAUGAUGAAGGCCUUCGGGUUGUAAAAUUCUGUUAUAAGGGAAGAACGACUCUAGUAGGAAAUGGCUAGAGUGUGACGGUACCUUAUGAGAAAGCCACGGCUAACUACGUGCCAGCAGCCGCCGCGGUAA
rnacentral:rRNA from 1 species